rnacentral:rRNA from 1 species
UACAGAGGGGGCAAGCGUUGUUCGGAAUUACUGGGCGUAAAGGGCGCGUAGGCGGCCCGCUAAGUCGAACGUGAAAUCCCCGAGCUCAACUCGGGAACUGCGUCCGAUACUGGCGGGCUUGAAUCCGGGAGAGGGAUGCGGAAUUCCAGGUGUAGCGGUGAAAUGCGUAGAUAUCAGGAGGAAUACCGAUGGCGAAGGCAGUACUCUGGGCUAACACUGACGCUGAGGUGCGAAAGCGUGGGGAGCAAACAGG